UACGAAGGGGGCUAGCGUUGCUCGGAAUCACUGGGCGUAAAGCGCACGUAGGCGGCUUAUUAAGUCAGGGGUGAAAUCCUGGAGCUCAACUCCAGAACUGCCUUUGAUACUGAUGAGCUUGAGUCCGGGAGAGGUGAGUGGAACUGCGAGUGUAGAGGUGAAAUUCGUAGAUAUUCGCAAGAACACCAGUGGCGAAGGCGGCUCACUGGUCCGGUACUGACGCUGAGGUGCGAAAGCGUGGGGAGCAAACAGG
rnacentral:rRNA from 1 species